GUGGAUUAGAUACCCGGGUAGUCCACGCUGUAAACGAUGUGUGCUAGACGUUGGAGGGGAACCUUCAGUGUCGCAGCUAACGCAUUAAGCACACCGCCUGGGGAGUACGGUCGCAAGAUUAAAACUCAAAGGAAUUGACGGGGGCCCGCACAAGCGGUGGAGCAUGUGGUUUAAUUCGACGCAACGCGAAAAACCUUACCAGCUCUUGACAUGGGUAUUUUGGAUUUCAGAGAUGAGAUCCUUCAGUUCGGCUGGAUACCACACAGGUGCUGCACGGCUGUCGACAACU
rnacentral:rRNA from 1 species